rnacentral:lncRNA from 1 species
AUGACAAGCCAUAAUCCUAAAUUAAUUGGAAAUUUGAUAGUACUGAACCCAUGAACAAUUUAUUAAUCAAUACAAUGACUAACUUCUGAUUUUAAAAACAUACAGCAAAAUAAGAAAUAAAAUUACGGAAUGGCUAAAAGUUCCAAUAGACCAAUUAAUAGUGCAUAUUUUGUUCAACUAACCAUUGGUGUACAAUUAUUAGCUUCCUUUCGAAAUCAAAUCCAAUUUUUUCUGACUCUCCUUUAAAAACAGCGGAAAUAAAUGCUAAACCAGGCUGAUGAGAAACUAGUGCUAGAUGAUCAACAAUAUCAACACUAGUUAAACCAAAUACAUGGAGAUCUACUAGAACUUUGCAUUACAGUAUCAACACUAGUUAAACCAAACGAAAUUGCUACACAUAUGAAAUACAUCUAAUUAAUCUAACAUUAUACUACUUAACAAUACAGUCCAGAAUUAUUACAAAAUUCGAGAACAAUAAAUAAUCAAAUAUGGCAGGGCCAUUAAAACACAAAGCCACAGUGGGAAGUUAUCCUUAAUUUCAUUUCAUAUCUCAAUAGAUGAAGCUACAUCAAUGGAGUUUGGAGAUGUGUACCAGGAUGUAGAAAUACAAGAAGAAUAAGAAGAAGAUCAGCUAUAAUAAUAUAUUCCAGCAGAAUAAUUUGCAAACAGCAGGUAACACAGCAUGUUCAGUCAAGAAAUGAGUUCAACAGUCGAAGGAUAAGUUGAAGGCCAAGUAAAAUCCACUGCUAAACCCAAAAUAGCACCAAAUAGCCUACAACAAACUGACUGAAUCCUCAAAAAUUGCUCGGAAUCAAAUAAAAACUACCCUGAACCUUCAGUUACUAGUAAUCGAGCAAGAAAUGCUACUCAACUAGGCGAAACUAGAAUUUGGCUAAGAGAAGCAAUGCAAUAGUACUUUUUUGGUUUUUGAAGAGUUUUUGUUUCUUUUUUUUGUUUUCUUCUAAGGAACUAAAAUCUAGCCAGAAUUUAGCUAAAAUAGAAAGCUGGAUCAGAUCUAAGAAAAACUUUAGAAUGGAGAAUUUAGGAGAUAAUAAUGACUGAAAAGAGAAGACCCCUAGCAAGGCUGUUUAUAUGCCCUUUUAUAGGAAUGGCAUUUAUGGCAUCUAUAUGAGCAUCAAAAUUGCACCUAGAACCUUUUGCAAUUUUCAAAUUUGCUACUUAGUCCCUAAAAUUCUGACUUGCUUGCCAAGCUUAAUGCAUACAAAUCUCAAAUUUCACUGCAACUCCCUACUAGAAGCUUCCCCAUUAUGUUGUUAAAAGAUUCCUUAAGCCAAUUCCUUAAGCAGAAGAAAGGAAUGAAAAUAAUGGAACAAGAAACGGACAAGGAAAAAUAAAAUGAAAGAACACUUACCUAAUUAACUUGAAGCUGGAGCCCCCGAUUUUAAACAAAACUAAUGCUAAUCGCUUGUUCUUGACAAAUAACAAGCGAACAACAUUAAUUUUUCAUUAAAUCACUCUUCGAAACUCAACACUCGAAGGCCUAGGUCUUCCAUGCCACAAAUUUGAAGGUAAGGCAAUUUGGGUUUCAGGUCUUCAUCUUUAGAUUCCAGAUUCGAAAAGAUAUAGAGGGAUUUGAGGGAAGUGGAUUUUUGUUAUGGAAAGAAAAAGGGUUGGGGGUUAUAUGGUGUAAUUUUGAGGCGGAAUAAAGCUGGCGCCGCAACCGGAGGAGUUGACGAUAUGUGGGUGGCGUCGCUAGGGUUACGCAGAUAGUAGGCUGUUUAGGAGAGACGAGAGAAGGGGGCGAGUUUGGACCGUUAUAUGAUAAGGUAGGAUCAGU